AUCCAAGUCCCAGGCAAACUGAGACAGUUGGUCGCCAGACUCGUGGCUCACGUUCGAACACACCGACCAACAAAAUGACCCCGCCCCCAAGUGGCCAGAAAGACCCUGAUGGCGCUCCGACCUACUACUUUUCUGUUGCCGCAGCCUGUGCGUCCUGAGCUGGCUAUUUCUGCUUUCGGAGGGGGGUUGUCUUACACCCUCCACCCGCCCCACCCCAGAGUCUUCAGUCUUUCAGGGCCCCCAAAACGCUGCGGGGCGGGGUGGUUGGUCCCCACCCCAGCGAGAGGCCCGCGACCAGCCGGGAGGGGCGCGCGGCGCUCGGAGCGCCCAGGGCCGGGCCUCUGACCCGCGCAGGCGCAGAAGCGCCCCCCCACUCCGGUUUCAUGGAUUCCCAGUCCAGCUGCGUGAUGGUGACUGGUUUCGGGCCCUUCCGGCAGCACCUGGUGAAUUCCAGCUGGGAAGCAGUAAAGAACAAGGAUGAAAUGAAGACAUUUUCAUUAAAGCAAGCAUCAAGAGUUUACUACCAGCAGGCACAACCCUAAAGGAACAUGUAAAGGAUAUCAUUCAGAAGGAAGGAAAAUUAUCCCAGAAAGAUGGUGUGAGAUGCAAAGAGGAAUUGUGAGCCCAAAGCCACACCACACAGGCAGCAUGUGGAACUUCCCCAGCCAGAGAUCAAACCCACGCCCC